ensembl:lncRNA
GUGUGCUGUCUGGAGAAUAGGUGUGCUGUCUGGAGAAUAGGUGUGCUGUCUGGAGAAUAGGUGUACUGUCUGGAGAAUAGGUGUACUGUCUGGAGAAUAGGUGUGCUGUCUCAUUGCAGAAAAGAAACACAAAACUGAACUGACUGAAGCACUCCAUCUUAACCAGUGUGUCAUUUACAUGUUAAUUAAUGGAUGUUAUAACCAUGUCAACUACAGGAUGUUAACUCCAUGUUAACUAAUGGAUGUUACAGUUGUGCUCAAAAGUUUGCAUACCCUUGGAAAAUUGGUAAUAAACAGCUCCAGAAAAAAAUUAAGAGACCACUGCACCUUUUUCUUUCCUUUCCAAAAAGGUUGAAAAGGAAAAGAGGAACAGAAGCGUUCAAUUUACAGUGGUCUCUUAAUUUUAACCCUUCUGUUCCUCACUCAAAAUAUUCUCCUGAGGUUACCUGUGGGUUUUUCUUUGUAUCCUGAAUAAUUCUUCUGGCAGUUUUGGCUGAAAUCUUUCUUAGUCUACCUGACCUUGUCUUGGUAUCAAGAGAUCCCUGAAUUUUCCACUUCUUAAUGUGUGAUUGAACAGUACUGGCAUUUGCAAGGCUUUGGGUAUAUUUUUAUAUAAUUUUCCAUCGUUAUAGAGUUCCAUUACCUUGUCCUGCAGGUCUUUUGACAAUUAUUUUCUGCUCCCCAUGGCUCAGUAUCUAGUCUGCUCAGUGCAUCCAUGUGAGAGCUAACAAACCCAUUGACUAUUUGUACACAGACACUAAUUGCAAUUUUAAAAGCCACAGGUGAGGGAAAUUCACCUUUAAUUGUCAUUUUCACCUGUGUGUGUCACCUUGUGUGUCUGUAACAAGUCCAAACAUAGGGUAUGUCAACUUUUGAUAAUGGCAAUUUGGGUGAUUUCUGUUAUCAUUAUGAUUUAAAAAGGAGCCAAACAACUAUGUGAUAAUAAAUGGCUUCAUAUGAUCACUAUCCUUGGUCCACACCUGCGGAUUACCUGGUUUGGGGGGCCCGUUGCUGUCCCUGUCCUUGUCCACCUGGUCAUACUUCUGACCUAGUCUAAAAUCAAAUAGACUCUGGAUUUAGCCCAGAGAAAUAUAUUUAUUAUUCCAAUUGGACUCUUAAUAUCUCACCCGGCACAGCCAGAAGAGGACUGGUCACCCCUCUGAG